AGCCCCAAGCUGAAGUGGGCUGUGUGAUGUGGUCUCUGGGAUCACUGCUUCUUCCCUUGACUGAGCUCCUUCAGCCCCACGGGCAAGUCCCAGGUCUGCUUCCCACUCUCAACAUCCCCCGUUCCAGACUGAAGGAGGAUACCCCUUUGGACCUGGCUGGAGAUGAAGCGGCCUCCUGGCCCUAAGAGGGUCCUUGCAUGUGUCUUCACUCCCAAGUAAGAGAGAUCAUGACAGAUUUUCUC
rnacentral:lncRNA from 1 species